rnacentral:misc_RNA from 1 species
GAUGAAGAACGUAGCGAAAUGCGAUAAGUAGUGUGAAUUGCAGAAUUCAGUGAAUCAUCGAAUCUUUGAACGCACAUUGCGCCCCUUGGUAUUCCAUGGGGCAUGCCUGUUCGAGCGUCAUUUGUACCUUCAAGCUCUGCUUGGUGUUGGGUGUUUGUCUCGCCUCUGCGUGUAGACUCGCCUCAAAACAAUUGGCAGCCGGCCUAUUGAUUUCGGAGCGCAGUACAUCUCGCGCUUUGCACUCAUAACGACGACGUCCAAAAGUACAUUUUUACACUCUUGACCUCGGAUCAGGUAGGGAUACCCGCUGAACUUAAGCAUAUCAAUAAGCGGAGGA